AUAAAAAAAAUCAUAAAAAUAAAUUUUAUCAAGAAAUUUAUAAAAAAAAUUAGUCUGCCAUAUAAUUGUUUUUAAUUAAAAUUAAUAUUUGUAAAGAAGAUAAUUGAGUUGAUUGUUUUCAUAGAAUUAAAUCACACGUAAAGUCACCGAAUGGAAAAGUGUUUUCACAUUAUGCGUGAAUUAUUUUAAAAAUUAUAUAAAUAAAUUGUUUAAUAGAUUAAAUAUAAUACAUAUAUACUAGUGCUAUUGAGGAAAGUGAAAAAUCUAUUUUUAAGCUUUUUUUUUUAAUUUUUA
rnacentral:misc_RNA from 1 species